CUACCAUGCAAGUCGAGCGGAGAAGGGAGCUUGCUCCUGGAUUCAGCGGCGGACGGGUGAGUAAUGCCUAGGAAUCUGCCUGGUAGUGGGGGAUAACGUCCGGAAACGGGCGCUAAUACCGCAUACGUCCUGAGGGAGAAAGUGGGGGAUCUUCGGACCUCACGCUAUCAGAUGAGCCUAGGUCGGAUUAGCUAGUUGGUGGGGUAAAGGCCUACCAAGGCGACGAUCCGUAACUGGUCUGAGAGGAUGAUCAGUCACACUGGAACUGAGACACGGUCCAGACUCCUACGGGAGGCAGCAGUGGGGAAUAUUGGACAAUGGGCGAAAGCCUGAUCCAGCCAUGCCGCGUGUGUGAAGAAGGUCUUCGGAUUGAAAGCACUUUAAGUUGGGAGGAAGGGCAGUAAGUUAAUACCUUGCU
rnacentral:rRNA from 1 species